rnacentral:tRNA from 1 species
GCGAACGUGGUGGAACUGGUAGACACGCCAGCUUGAGGGGCUGGUGGGAGUAAUCCUGUGCGGGUUCGAGUCCCGCCGUUCGCA